rnacentral:rRNA from 1 species
GACGAACGCUGGCGGCGUGCUUAACACAUGCAAGUCGAACGGAGAAGGGGCCUGCUUUUGUGGGCCCUGGAUGAGUGGCGAACGGGUGAGUCACACGUGAGUAACCUGUCCCCUUCUUCUGGAUAACCGCAUGAAAGUGUGGCUAAUACGGGAAAUUCUGGGUCUGUCGCAUGAUGGGUCUGGGAAAGAUUGCGCCUUUGGGUGUUUUUGGUUGGGGAUGGGCUCGCGGGCUAUCGGCUUGUUGGUGGGGUGAUGGCCUACCAAGGCGGUGACGGGUAGCCGGCCGGGGGGUGUGCACGGUCACACUGGGACUGAGACACGGCCCAGACUGCUACGGGAGGCAGCAGUAGGGAAUAUUGCACAAUGGGCACAAGCCUGAUGCAGCGACGCCGCGUGAGGGAUGGAGGCCUUCGGGUUGUAAACCUCUUUCGCCAGUGAAGCAGGCCUGCUCCUUGUGGGUGGGUUGACGGUAGCUGGAUAAGAAGCGCCGGCUAACUACGUG